CAGUCGCCACGGGAAUACGUAGGGUGCGAGCGUUAAUCGGAAUUACUGGGCGUAAAGCGAGCGCAGACGGUUACUUAAGCAGGAUGUGAAAUCCCCGGGCUCAACCUGGGAACUGCGUUCCGAACUGGGUGACUAGAGUGUGUCAGAGGGAGGUAGAAUUCCACGUGUAGCAGUGAAAUGCGUAGAGAUGUGGAGGAAUACCGAUGGCGAAGGCAGCCUCCUGGGAUAACACUGACGUUCAUGCUCGAAAGCGUGGGUAGCAAACAGGAUUAGAUACCCGGGUAGUCCCUGUCUCUUAUAU
rnacentral:rRNA from 1 species